rnacentral:rRNA from 1 species
CCGAACAGGUCCGUCGGGAAAUCCACCCGCUCAACGGGUGGACGUCCGGCGGAAACCAGUCGGCUUGGGGCCGGGAGACCAGAGAGGUACGUCCGGGGUAGGAGUGAAAUCCUGUAAUCCUGGACGGACCGCCGGUAGCGAAAGCGUCUCUGGAGAACGGACCCGACGGUGAGGGACGAAAGCUUGGGUCUCGAACCGGAUUAGAUACCCGGGUAGUCCAAGCUGUAAACGAUGCUCGCUAGGUGUGGCGUUGACUACGAGCCAGCGCUGUGCCGUAGGGAAGCCGAGAAGCGAGCCGCCUGGGAAGUACGUCCGCAAGGAUGAAACUUAAAGGAAUUGGCGGGGGAGCACUACAACCGGAGGAGCCUGCGGUUUAAUUGGACUCAACGCCGGACAUCUCACCGGCACCGACAGUGUGCAGUGACAGUCAGUUUGAUGAGCUUACUUGAGCCACUGAGAGGAGGUGCAUGGCCGCCGUCAGCUCGUACCGUGAGGCGUCCUGUUAAGUCAGGCAACGAGCGAGACCCGCGUCCCUAAUUGCCAGCAGCAGCCUUGUGCUGGCUGGGUACAUUAGGGAGACUGCCGUCGCUAAGACGGAGGAAGGAACGGGCAACGGUAGGUCAGUAUGCCCCGAAUGUGCCGGGCGACACGCGGGCUACAAUGGCCGAGACAGUGGGACGCUACCCCGAGAGGGGACGCUAAUCUCCUAACCUCGGUCGUAGUUCGGAUUGCGGGUUGAAACCCACCCGCAUGAAGCUGGAUUCGGU